rnacentral:rRNA from 1 species
GGAGGGUGCGAGCGUUAAUCGGAAUAACUGGGCGUAAAGGGCAUGUAGGCGGUAAGUUAAGUCAGAUGUGAAAAUCCCCGAGCUUAACUUGGGAACGGCAUUUGAGACUGGCUGGCUAGAGUUUUGUAGAGGGGGUAGGAAUUCCAGGUGUAGCGGUGAAAUGCGUAGAGAUCUGGAGGAAUACCGGUUGCGAAGGCGGCCCCUCGGACAAGGACUGACGCUGAGGUGCGAAAGCGUGGUAGCAAACAGGAUUAGAUACCCCUGGUAGUCCACGCUGUAAACGAUGUCGAUUUGGAGGUUGUGGCCUAGUGUUAUGGCGUCCGAAGCUAACGCGAUAAAUCGACCGCCUGGGGAGUACGGCCGCAAGGUUA